ACUCCUACGGGAGGCAGCAGUGAGGAAUAUUGGUCAAUGGAGGGAACUCUGAACCAGCCAUCCCGCGUGUAGGAAGACGGCCUUAUGGGUUGUAAACUACUUUUAUACAGGAAGAAACGUACCCUCGUGAGGGUGCCUGACGGUACUGUAGGAAUAAGCACCGGCUAACUCCGUGCCAGCAGCCGCGGUAAUACGGAGGGUGCGAGCGUUAAUCGGAAUUACUGGGCGUAAAGCGCAUGCAGGUGGUUUGUUAAGUCAGAUGUGAAAGCCCGGGGCUCAACCUCGGAAUAGCAUUUGAAACUGGCAGACUAGAGUACUGUAGAGGGGGUGAGAAAUUCCAGGUGUAGCGGUGAAAUGCGUAGAGAUCUGAAGGAAUACCAGUGGCGAAGGCGGCCCCCGGACAAAGACUACGCUCNGAUGCGAAAGCGUGGGGAGCAAACAGGNUUAGAUACCCUGGUAGGCU
rnacentral:rRNA from 1 species